AGUAAAAGUCGUAACAAGGUUUCCGUAGGUGAACCUGCGGAAGGAUCAUUAGAGAAAUGUAGGCGCUGUCGGGCACACUUGCCUGAUAGCUUACCUCUACCACCUCUCAUCCCUGUGAACUAUUGCGUGAGCUAGUACAGGCUUUGGCCGAGAAAGCUUGCGAUUUCUAUAUACCCAUCAGAAAGUCUCAGAAUGUAAUCUUGCGUUAACUCGCACAAAUAACAACUUUCAGCAACGGAUCUCUUGGUUCUCGCAUCGAUGAAGAACGCAGCGAAAUGCGAUAAGUAAUGUGAAUUGCAGAAUUCAGUGAAUCAUCGAAUCUUUGAACGCAACUUGCACCCCUUGGCAUUCCGAGGGGUACACCUGUUUGAGUGUCGUGAAUUCCUCCACCUGUAGACUUUUUUGUUGGCAGGCUGGGACUUGGAGGUUUUGCGGGUCCUUUUAUAGGUCCGCUCCUCUUGAAUGCAUUAGCGAAAAGACCCUUGCGGCCUAGGAGUGAUAAGAUAUCUACGCCUUGGCUUAGCGAUGCUGUGGGACUUUGCUUCUAACCGUCCUUCGGACAAUAUCACAUCGAAACUUGACCUCAAAUCAGGUGGGACUACCCGCUGAACUUAAGCAU
rnacentral:rRNA from 1 species